rnacentral:lncRNA from 1 species
GCUGGACCUUACACCUCUCUGUGUUUGCAGUGCUGGCUGUUGUUUGGGGCUCCACCUUUGCUGCAGAAACGGAGGUGAUCUACGCCUGUCACAACCAGACCGCUGAGAUGUCCUGCGACGUCGGCACCAGCAUUAGCCUGGAGCACAUCCUGUAUAAGGUUGGCGUGGGGACGCGAUGUGGCGAGGGGAAGCGUCACCCGGACGACGGGGAGGGCGUGUACUGCAGCUUCCCCUGGGCAGAGAUGGUGGUGGAGGACCUAUGUGGGAACAAGAGAACCUGUAAAGUCCCCGUGACUGAGCUGGUCUUCGGUGAAUAUCCCUGUGAGGAGCAGACUCGCUAUCUGGAAGUUUCCUACAGCUGCGCCAAACCUCCACCUCCACCUCAACCACCAGCACCAGUGAAAGUAGCUCAACCUGACUGUGAGGAGAAAGCAGCAGGUGAAGCAUGACGUCACACACGCAGGAGAAGAGGAAACCUCCUUCAAAGUAAAACCUGAGAGCUUUUAUUCUGAAAGGGUUUAACGUUUACAG